GCCUUUCUAGCUCAGUUGGUAGAGCGCUGGCCUUUUAAGCCAGUGGUCGUGGGUUCGAGCCCCACGGGGGGUG
rnacentral:tRNA from 1 species